rnacentral:misc_RNA from 1 species
GAUGAAGAACGUAGCGAAAUGCGAUAAGUAGUGUGAAUUGCAGAAUUCAGUGAAUCAUCGAAUCUUUGAACGCACAUUGCGCCCCUCGGUAUUCCGUGGGGCAUGCCUGUUCGAGCGUCAUUUAACCCCUCAAGCCUAGCUUGGUAUUGGGUGCUUGUCCCGCCUCUCGCGCGGCGACUCACCUCAAAGUCAUUGGCAGCCCGCAUCUCGCCGGCCGUGAGCGCAGCACAGACGUGCUCUUGGCAACGACGGAUCGGCUCUCCAAAAGCUUAUUUCAACCACUGACCUCGGAUCAGGUAGGGAUACCCGCUGAACUUAAGCAUAUCAAUAAGCGGAGGA